CACCUAUCUUCGGAUAGAAGCGAGUGGCGAACGGCUGAGUAACACGUGGAGAACCUGCCCCCUCCCCCGGGAUAGCCGCCCGAAAGGACGGGUAAUACCGGAUACCCCGGGGUGCCGCAUGGCACCCCGGCUAAAGCCCCGACGGGAGGGGAUGGCUCCGCGGCCCAUCAGGUAGACGGCGGGGUGACGGCCCACCGUGCCGACAACGGGUAGCCGGGUUGAGAGACCGACCGGCCAGAUUGGGACUGAGACACGGCCCAG
rnacentral:rRNA from 1 species